AAUCCAAGCUUGGUUGCAUACCAGAUUCGUCUGUGGAGCCCGCACUCCAGACCUCCUGAAUCAACAUUUCCUGGAUGAGGCUCAGGUACAAACAUUUUCACAAAGACCCACAGACGAUUCAGAUCUGUAAAGAGGAACGAAUUCAUCCAGUGUGUUGCCACAGAGCACACCCUUUGGAGUCGCAUCCCUCCGGGCUCUGAGACAGGCUUCUCCACUCUGCCAAGCGAAAGCUGCUCUGGGCUCAGUGUCCUCAACUGAAUUCUGAGUCAAAGUUCGGAGCACCUCUAAGUAUCUUGACAUAUAUUAUUACAUUGCUUUUCGGGAAACUUCCAUGAAUUUAUGUAUCUACCAGCCAUGUGUGAGAAUGCCUGCUUCACUUCAUGCUCAACUACAGAAUCCAUUAAAUUGAACUGGCAAACUGUAUCUGCGAAGGUCGGCACUGAGCUCUUCUCAGCACGAACACGGACGUGAUCAUGGAGGUGACAAGGGCUCUUGAAAAUGUGAGAUUAACCACUUGGUGUUUAGAAAGGGUUUGUAAUUCACAUAAUUAUUGGAACUUCUGAAGGACGAAGGACGUAAGCAGACCAGAGCCUUGAUGAUGUCUGCUCUCUGAAGUUCUUAUUGCUGAAAUCUAAGAAGCCGGAGAAGGGUGGUCUCAAUAUAUUGAGUUUGUAACACAUUACGCUCUUGGAGAUUCAGACUUGGAAUUCAAACUCUACUUGACAUUUCUGAACUUCAUUAAAUUCACGACCAGUCGGAACAUCCUUUAGAACAGAACAUUUCCACUGAGUCCGUAGGAGACUGUUUUCGUUUGGUAUUUGGGACUCAAUUACUUCGGAAGGACGUUUGCCCAUAGAAGUUGACUGAUUCAUUCAUGUUCUGUCCUCAAAGAUAUCGUAGCUUAAAAAAGUGAACUCCA